AAGAUUGUCCUUCUGUUUGCAACAGCUUGCAUAUUGACAUUGCAAUGGCUUGACGAUAUAUUCCUUCGACUUUUGUACUGAUCGUCGUAACCCUCUUCGUCUGUAUCUUCUUCACAUUCUUGAUCAUCUUCUGAAGACGAAAAGGCAGCAAAUCCUUCUCUCCAACUCUCCUCAUUGUCAUAGUCUCGUUGGUCUUUCCACAAUUUCAAUUUAACAACUAUAUCCCUCAUAGGUAUUUGUUUGUUAACUACAGUUGCUGUUGGCUGACCUCCAUAAGGACUUGUUGUUUCCUGUCGAGUUCACUUUUGCUCAAUAUCAUCUCUCGUUCCACAAUUUCGAUUUAACAACUAUAUCCCUCAUAGGUAUUUGUUUGUUAACUACAGUUGC
rnacentral:lncRNA from 1 species